CUCCUGAUCUACUUUGACUUUCUCCCAUCCACUGAGCUCAUUUGAAUAUAGGACAGUGAUGUGACAUCUAUAUACAUAUAGAUCUGUGACUGAAACUCCUGUCUUCGUAUUCCUGUUUGGACCUUUAGGUCAUAUGUUAUCAGGAUGAAUCAUCACAGAUGAUAUUUAUAGAGACUUUUCCAAACUUGGUGACCGACCGCUACGACAAAUUUACAGAGACGUGUGCUGAGAGAAGAAGACUUCUGUUGUUGUGACUGUAUGGAAAUGGAAAAAACAAAGUCUGUGGGCUGAUGAUGUUUGCAUACAUGUAAAUACAGACAGACUUAUUCUCACACUUUGCAUCAAAAACAGAAAAACAAAUUGGCCACGUGACUUUUGUUUGUUUUUUGAUUUUCAGUCUAGAGCGGUAAAAAGAGGAGACCACCUGACUUAGUUUCUGGUUCAGAACCAUAGACCAAAACCACAAGAC